rnacentral:rRNA from 1 species
CCCUUAGAUGAUUUGGGCUGCACGCGCGCUACACUGACCCUAACAAUGAGCAACUGUCUGGCCUGAGAUGGCUGGGUAGCCUUUUCAACCCAUGUCAUGAUUGGGCUAGAUUUUUGUAAGACUUGAUCUCUAACGAGGAAUCCCUAGUAUGCGUGAAUCAUCAAUCCAUGCAGAUUAUGUCCCUGCCCUUUGUACACACCGCCCGUCGCUCCUACUGAUUGGGUGAUCCGGUGAGCUGUUCGGCCAUAGCAAUGUUUCUUGAGCAGGGCAAUGAAUGUUUCGCAAACCUUGCCACUUAGAGGAAGGAGAAGUCGUAACA